GUAAAAUUCCGUUGCCUGUCUUUGAGUCACUUCUUCACUACACUUUUCACUUUCACAUCACUGGAAUAAUAUUUGCCUCUCAAACCCUCUUUCAUGGGGCCGAAGAGAUGAUAGUCUAGUGACGAUGAUAGUCCAGAUGACGAGGAAAGUCCAGUGAUCAU